rnacentral:sRNA from 1 species
AUACCAUAUUUUGCUAAAUAAUUAGUAAAGAGGCGAAUAGAAUAUUUAUAUUUAGCGUAUAAUGUAGCGACCAUAUAAAACGCACCUAUUAACGCGCCCCGUUAUCCUAAAAGUCGCUUAACCAGGUACGAAUGGGUAUAUAAUGUUUGAGCCAGUUAUUAUUAAUAUUAUAUGGGGUAAAAAAUGAAUUUCGAUAUAUAUUGUCGAAAGGAGGAUAAUUAUGCUCAAACUGUUGCAUCUUCGUAUCUCCGAUAAUUAUUUGCGAACCUCCAGCCACCCUUUUGCGCAGUUUUUGCAAAACUUCCAAACAUUUGCUUUAAUUGGAAGGCGCACAAAGCGGUCUUUAGUUUCGUAUAUUUCUACUAUUUUAUUCUGCUUAUCCAAUAUUUCCAAAAUAUUAGCAAACGCGAUUUCCGUCUAUUUAAACGCGGUUUCCAUCUUUUUAAACUCUCCUUUUAACUUUACCACCUAUAUAAAACUCCGGUUAUAUAGCCUUUUUAAAUUCGCCCAGAGAAUUUCGUUCGACGGACGAUUAAAAAUUUGUUCGGGGUUUCGUUCGAUAUUUGAAAUUUGGCUUUGAUGGUUUUCGUAUAUUAAUAAAAUUGCAGCAAGGAGUUUGAACGUCAAAUUUUAAAUAACGUUUGCCUUUAUUUUUAUUAAUAUUAAUUUAAUAUUGAAAAUAUAAAAUCUUAUUAUAUUUUAGCUAAUUCUUUUUAAUAUUUGAUUUGGAAACCAAACGCGGGUAUUCGGCCGCAAUAACGAAAAUAGUUUGAUAAAAGGUUGAAAAACAGACCACCGUUUUGGUUACGUUCGAAAGGUAAUUUUUGGGAGGGGUUUAAAUAUAAAUUUAUAAUUUUGUCCAAUUACAUUGGCAGGCAAUUAAAUUGGUAGCCAAGAACAGGACCUCGCAAAUAUAUUUUCGUAUAGGACCAUUUUUGGGACAAAAGUUAUAUUUAUAACCCAAAAAUGUCAAAUUUAAAUCCUAUUUAAAAAUUAUAAUACAAAUAUCCUGUAAAUGCAACCUCUUUUAAAAGUUGACGUGGUUAUUAUUUUCUCGAAAUACUUAAAAUAAACGUUUUUAUUAUCGUGUCGGGGUUAUUAUAAAUUCUGUCGAUUUUAAAAACUUUGGGUUAAUUUUUUCGAGCAAACUUCGUUUUUUAAUCGAUCCAACCAAAGAAAAUAAAAUUAAAAAAAAAGGCAUUUUAAUAAAUCUUGCUCCGAAUUAAUUAAAUUUCAACGUUUUAUUUUAAAAAAUCACAAUAUUUAAUUUUCCGUAAUAUAUAAUAUAUAAUGUGCCCUAAUUUAUUAUUCGACGAAGAACAACUGACGUUAAUCCUUUCGCCACCUAUACGUUAUUGGAUUAGCUAAUUUUAUAUAUAUUUCGAUUACGCGUAAAUUAUUAGACCAUGCGCCUACAUUAAUAAAAAAAUAAGGUUUACAUACGCUGCAUUAUCCCGAAUCUCCUAAUUGCAAUAUACCAAAAUUUUGUUAGCUUGUUAAAUAAUACCACAAUUAAUUUAUUAAUAUAUAGACUAAAAAGAGUUCGGUGUUUAAAAUAGCAGAGAACCAAGUUUGUUUCUUUUUGCAAUUGUAACCGUGGGUCCGAAACAGGAUAUUGGCGACGAUUGCAUAUUAUACGUAGCAUUUAGGGAAUUAAUACGUUAUUUUCGGAAUGGCGUUGUAAAUGGAAACUUUCGCUGCGACCGACCCACGUUCCAAAAGUUGUUCGUAAUGGUGCGGAACCUGCAAAAUCUAGGCCACAUCCAGAUUUGCCUUUACCCUUUAUUAUAUGCAGGCUAGCAAUUUUACAAGGUCCAGCCGUCAAAAAGCCGACCGGGAUUACCUUGUCCGCUAUUUCCAAUUUUGGCUAAGGGCCCAUAUAAAAAAUAUUUGGUAAUUGUGCUGGGACAUUAUAAUGUGCAGGGAUACAAUGUGCUGGAAUAACGAUAUAUUUUGGAAUAUAAUGUACUGGAAUAUAAUGUGCUGGGAUAUAAUAUGUUGAAAUAACGAUAUGUUCUGGGAUAUAAUAUAUUGGGAUAUAGUGUGCUGGAAUAUAAUGUGCUGGAAUAACGACAUAUUCUGGGAUAUAAUAUAUUGGGACAUAGUGUGCUGGGAUAUAAUAUGCUGGGAUAACGACAUGUUCUGGGAUAUAAUAUGUUGGGAUAUAGUGUGCUGGGAUAACGAUAUGUUUUGGGAUAUAAUGUGCUGGGAUAACGACAUGUUCUGGGAUAUAGUGUUAUAUUAAUAAUAGUGCUGUCCGCUUUGUUUUUUAUUUAGGGGAUUUAAAUACCUUUUUUGCCGUUAAUAUGGACGUUUUUAUUUGGUACGCGAUAGGAGUUUUUGGUGCUAUAACUUUUUGCAUUAUUAUAUGCAUGUUCUUACAUUUAUUCCGAACCGUUUUUCGGUUUGGAAAGCGUAUAUUCUUUAAAUAUCUAAUUUAUACCAAUAUACCAAAGGUUUCUGGGCAUUCUUAUUAUAUUGCUAGAUAUAAAUGCUUUUUUUUCCUUUCCGUUCUUAUUGCCAAUAUUGCCGCAAUUACAAUUGGAGUCGAUAAUAGACGGAAGUUUAUUAAACGAACCGGAAUAAUAGCCGUAAUUAAUAUCGUCCCGUUAUUUUUAGGAGCGCAAAUAAACGUUGUUGCAAGCAAUUUUAAUGUAAAAUUUGGCUCUAAUAUUCGAUUGUAUCGAUGGUUUGGAACCGCUGCUAUUAUGGAGGGUAUAUUAUAUGCGGCAACCUCCUUUUUUAUAAAAAAACCUGAACCUAGCAAGCGGGAAGAAAUCGCCGGAUUCCUGGUAAAUUAUCCAUAAAUAAAACCAGAACCUAUUAAUUUUUGUAAUAGGCUAUAUUAAUUUUAAUAUUAAUUCCGUUAUUUGGAAUUAUAUUUCCACGAGCCUAUGAGAUUUUUAAUGGCCUUUACGUUAUAUUUAAUACAGCCCUAUUAACAAUUUUAUAUUUAUAUAAACCUGGUGUUUAUUUAACGCCGCCAACCAUAUAUUUGUUUGGAGCUAUUUAUUUACAAAUAAUUAUUGGUGGUGCUCGGUUUCUGCACCUUGGAUAUCGAAAUAUAAAACGCAAGCGACUUUUAAAUUGUGCAACCAUUUAACCAAUUAAUUAUAUAAUAUUAU